ensembl:lncRNA
GUGGUUAUUUUAAUUUCCUGUUCCCUCCAUCAUGUUUGUACAGAUCUGAAUGCUUUUCAACAAACAAAUGAAAGUUUCUGUCUUCUUUCUUGUAGACAGACAUUUCAUCUUGAUUUGUGUUUUGCCAGUUUAGUGCUGGAAGCCACCGCAGUUCCAGUGAGAAACACAGAAUAGAGAUUGCUUACAUCAGUGGUCCCAGCUGACUGUAACAUCAGGAUUUUAUCUACUGGAUUAGGUCAGCAGCACACAACACUGAGAGAGGCGAAAAACACACAUUUAAACACCAAAAAGCUACAUAUACCUUUACUUUAAACACGCUCACUCGCUCACAUACACUCACAUACACACGCUGAUAUAUACAUACACAUAUGCACAGUCACUCGGCUAAGUUUCGAGAACGACCACACACAAACACCAGAAACCAACAGACACCAAAGUAACACCACUGACAGUACAAAAAAUCAAAAAAUAUCUCAAAAUAUACAUUUAUUAUUUACAGCUCAAGUAUACACCCUGUCACUCUUACUAUAGAUAAUCAGUGUGAAUUUAUCAGAAUGUACAUCGAUAUGUACAGAGUAAAUACACUGUCUUAAAUACUAUAAAUAUAACUAUGGCUGGUCACAUAAAGAUUAUCUGCACGGUUAAAUAAAUGUACUUUUACGUUGCUAUUGGGAAGUUCAUCUUAGUAACUGAACUGACUUAACCUCGUUAACACGUAGACAAAAGAGACCCUGGAGUUGGAAUCUUUGUUUUUGGUAAGAAAUCGAUACCUGUAUCCAGGCUAGGUUUGGACCAGAGAAGACAUUUUCCCACUUUGCUGCAGAGUUUCAGUGAUUUUUAUUGUUAGAGGGAAUCUCAGCUGUGCUUUGUCAUAUUACGGCCACUCUGCAGCCAGUAGCGCCGAUCGCUGCUAAUUGUAGAGAAAAAUAUAAGCCUGCCUGCUGUUGUGCUUUCUUCAUAUAUGACCCACUGCAUUAGCAUUAGUUCAACAUUGUUAUCUAUGUAUUGUGCAUAUCACUUUGUAGCUUCAGGUGCUUUUGUAGACUUAUGGUGCAGUUUAAUUUUUUAUGAGGAUGUAUUUCAGUGUGCAGCUUUAUGCUUUAGUGGAGUCUUGCAGGAUGCAGCAAUCACAGCUAUAUUACUGACAUGAUGUUUAAGUUUCAUCACCCCUUUCAUUCACAAUGAUUUUGAUGCUUAUUUAGACAUAAAAUUAUUUUGUGCUUACCCAAAAUGUGCUUUAUCCAAACCAAAACUGCUUUUUUUAAAAUACAGGUUAAGUGUCUACCUCAGCUUAAGUGCCAUUUCCAUCACAUGUAGUUCUCAUGCACAGUUUUUACAGGAGGCCCUGUCAGCUGCAAAGUUAAGUUGCAUCUACAGAUGUUAAUACUACUCUUUUGUAACUUGUAUCUUUUUUAUCCCCUAUAUCAUGUUUCCUUUAAUGCAGACUUUCACUCAUUAAACUCUUUCAUUUCCAUCAUGGACAGAGGUUUCUAUGAAUGAAAGACGAAGCAUCAUUUGAGAGACAGGGCAAUAGAUUUGAGCUGUAUUGUCUUAAUACCAGUCAGUCCCAAGCAAUGCAUCACAGCCAUUGUAGGUCAUCAACUAAAAGCAAGAGCCAUGCUGUAGGGGGUACUGGCCAUCGUAUCAUAGGGAUUGCUUAGCAAAAUAGGAUGCAGGGUAAUAAGAGCUCUCUGCUACUGGCUACCACAAAGGGAUGACAGGGCAAAAUUUUACAUAGUACUUCUGACAAGAUGCCAGAUGAUGAGAUUUAAAAUACUAUCAUUUUGCACUCAAAGAUAAAUGUCUUUUAGACGAUACAGCGGACUAGAUGUUUUUGCCUUGUCAUGCAUUUCUGUUGAGCCUUGUCAUCUUAAACUAUUUGGCCCCUAUAUUUACUUUGCGCUCUUUUCUUUUUUACAUGUGUGCUUAACAAACAACUCCAGGGUCUCCCCCUAAUUAAAGUGCAAAUUAAUAUGAUGGAACAUUGGUGAAAACUCUACAUAAUAAAAUAAUAAAAUAAUCAAGGGGGGAAAAAACCCC